rnacentral:sRNA from 1 species
CUUUCGCGAGAAUAGUAACCACUCGUUAAGCUUUCCGGGUCAUUACUAAGCAUGUCCAGAUUCUGGACGCGAGUGGCUCCUGUCCACUCUGUUUGACGCCUCCCUGUUAUCAACUUGAGCCGCCUCUGGCGGCUCUUUUUUU